UUAUCUAACUGAAAAAAAAACAGACAUCAAAAACAUUGAAAUGUUCAAGUAUAGUUAUCUGUGUGACUUGUUUGGUGAAAAACAUCCAGCCUUGACCAUAUGCCCUAAGGCAGAGUUAUUGGAGGACUCCCUUUCUGAUCAUGACUAUCCAGACUCAUAUAGUCCAUUUCUCACAAUUCCA